GCUUAAUAGCAAUCUCACAACCCUUAAUCCCCAACCCCCAUAUUAAUAAACCACCAAAAAACACUUUA
rnacentral:rRNA from 1 species